GACGAACGCUGGCGGCGUGCUUAACACAUGCAAGUCGAACGGGCCUUGUCCCCUUUUUUUUUGGGGGGGGGGUUAGUGGCGAACGGGUGAGUAACACGUGAGUAACCUGCCCCUCACUUCUGGAUAACCGCUUGAAAGGGUGGCUAAUACGGGGUGUUCUGGCCUGCUCGCAUGGGUGGGUUUGGAAAGAUUCGACCGGUGUUGGUUGUUUUGGUGGGGGAUGGGCUCGCGGCCUAUCAGCUUGUUGGUGGGGUGAUGGCCUGCCAAGGCUUUGACGGGUAGCCGGCCUGAGAGGGUGGGCGGUCACACUGGGACUGAGACGCGGCCCAGACUCCUACGGGAGGCAGCAGUGGAGAAUAUUGCACAAUGGGCGCAAGCCUGAUGCAGCGACGCCGCGUGAGGGAUGGAGGCCUUCGGGUUGUGAACCUCUUUCGCCAGUGAAGAAGGUCCUGCUCUUUGUGGUGGGGUUGACGGUAGCUGGGUUAAUGAAGCGCCGGCUAACUACGUG
rnacentral:rRNA from 1 species